CGCUCUCCAUCGCAUUAAAGUACUUCAACCCUCUCUCCACCAAACCGGCGUGGCGACACGCGCACAGAACCGCCAUGAACACAAUCCGGUCUGGUCUAAUACCAACACUCACCAUUUCAUCGAAAAGCUCAACAGCCUCUGCUCCAUAACCAUGCGAUCCGUAACCAAUCAUCAUCGAGGUCCAGGAGACAAGGUCCCUCCUCUCCGCAAUCUCGCCAAACACUCUUUCAGAGUCAGCUGCUGGCCACAGUUCAACGCUGCUAUGUUAGCGCAGGCGGCUACUAAGCUUGUGAAAGUGUAGCAGUUUGGUACGAAACCUUGUUGUGUCUCGAACCGCUGAAACAUGAGGAGAGCUUCGCUGCUGUCUGAUCGCUCAAGCUCGGAUAUCAAAGUGUUCCAUGUGAUGAGAUCUCUAUCUACCAUCUCAUGGAAGUAGCGUUUGGCUUCUGUUAAGUAUCCGCACCUGCAGUAUAAGUCCAGUAUAGAGUUCAUCACCGGAAGGUUAGAGUGAAACCCACGUUUAACCACCGACGAAUGAAUCUGUUUUCCAGUUGUCACGGAAUCAAUGGAAGCAGAAGCUUUAACAGCUAUGGUUAUACAAUGAGGAGUCACAUCUUCAUUCGCCUGAAAACAUAUCAAAAUGGUGAAAUGUCAAUUCCAAAAUCCGAAAACCGAACCGAACCGAAAACCAAAACCGAAACCAGACCGAAAAUUACAAAAAAAUCAGAACGGUUCCUAUAUUUCUAAACCCAAAAGACCAAAACCCCUCCGAAACCGAAUCAAGGACCAUACGGAUACCCAAAUAUUUUAAAUAUAAUAAAAAUAUUAUUUAUUUUUAUUUUUAAUAUAUAUAAAACAUAAUUUAUAAAUAAAAAAUAUCAAAGAACGAAGUAGCCGAGUUAUCCGAAUUACCCCAAUAUUUUUUCGGUUAUUUCCGAGUUUAACUCGGAGUUUUGGGUUUUAUUCGGUUUUUGGGCUUAAACCCGCACUAUUUUCAUUUUGGUUCCGCUUCGAGUUUUAUUAAAAAAUAGAAACCCGACCCGAACCCGACAUUUCCCAAACCAAUCAAUCAAAUGUCCAGUUCCUAAACAGGUUUCAAACACCCCAACCCAAAUAACCUAAAAACGGAAUAAUUUUACCCGAGCCGAAAACCCGCACACUAAGCAAUCCACUCAAAAUGUGAGGAACAUAAGCAACUUACCAUCAACAUUUUCUUAUACAUCUUUAAACCGCCAAUUCCAUCACCUAAGUGUGUAAAACCGGUGAUUAGAGUAGUCCAAGUGACUUCGUUUUUCACCUUGAUAUACCGAAAAAUCAAACAAGCAGCGUCCAUUGUUGCAGAACAAGUAGCGUACAUAUUCAUCAAGGCAUUGUCAACGUAUAUAGAACCUUCCACACCGAGUUUGAUAACAACCCCAUGAACCAAACGACCAUAACCCAAAACCUUCAUGUCUCUACAAGAAGUGAGGACGCUAGAGAGUGUGAACUCAUUCGGGUUAGUUCCUUGCCUGAUCAUCUCACGGAAACACUCCCAAGCGCGUGCGUUGUGAUUAGAAGAAGCGUAACCUUUGAUCAUUGCGGUCCAAGCGACUACGUCUCUCUCAGGCAUUUCGUCGAACAGUGAGCGUGCUUCUUCGACCAAGCCUUUUUCGAAGUAGGAAAGGAUGAGAUUUGUUGCUAAAAUGUAAUGCUUCCUGGGUUUGUAAGGAGACUCUGUGUUUUGGUCUGACUCGACGCAGGCGUUACGUAGAGAGCUUCUGACAAAGUUUGGGAUUGGUUUAAACGCGUUGGAGCGUACAAGUUUCGUGAUGCUCAUGUCUUUGUCUUCAGACCUCAACAGUGUCUGCUCACAGUUUGUACGCAACUUUUUGUAGGUUCCGUAGUUUGCUCAUGUCUUUUCCGGGUUCAGGAAUGGUUCAGACCUCAACAGGUUCUGAUUAUUAGUUUGUUCGGGACUUUUCACAGUUUGUUUUUUCCUAAAAGGAAGACGCAAGUCUUUUGUCUAAUUCCUUUGAUUUCUUGUCAUUGUUAUUUUUGAUUUAUAUAUCUAUAUUAUAGUA